UACGUAGGGUGCAAGCGUUAAUCGGAAUUACUGGGCGUAAAGCGUGCGCAGGCGGUUAUGUAAGACAGGUGUGAAAUCCCCGGGCUUAACCUGGGAACUGCAUUUGUGACUGCAUAGCUAGAGUACGGUAGAGGGGGAUGGAAUUCCGCGUGUAGCAGUGAAAUGCGUAGAUAUGCGGAGGAACACCGAUGGCGAAGGCAAUCCCCUGGACCUGUACUGACGCUCAUGCACGAAAAGCGUGGGGAGCAAACAGG
rnacentral:rRNA from 1 species